ACUGUGAUAAGGGAACCCCGAGUGGGGGUACACGCGGGCUGUCCCGGUGUUUAAAACACAUCGGAAGAAAGGGCCGGGCAAGACCGGUGCCAGCCGCCGCGGUAAUACCGGCNNCUCGAGUGGUGACCACUUUUAUUGGGCUUAAAGCGUUCGUAGCUUGAUUUUUAAGUCUCUUGGGAAAUCUCACGGCUUAACUGUGAGGCGUCUAAGAGAUACUGGGAAUCUAGGGACCGGGAGAGGUAAGAGGUACUUCAGGGGUAGAAGUGAAAUUCUGUAAUCCUUGAGGGAUUACCGAUGGCGAAGGCAUCUUACCAGAACGGCUUCGACAGUGAGGAACGAAAGCUGGGGGAGCGAACGGGAUUAGAUACCCCGGUAGUCCCAGCCGUAAACUAUGCGCGUUAGGUGUGCCUGUAACUACGAGUUACCGGGGUGCCGAAGUGAAAACGUGCCACGUGUUGCCUGGGAAGUACGGUCGCAAGGCUGAAACUUAAAGGAAUUGG
rnacentral:rRNA from 1 species